rnacentral:rRNA from 1 species
CAGUAGCCGCGGUAAUACGUAGAUGGCGAGCGUUGUCCGGAAUUAUUGGGCGUAAAGGGAGCGCAGGCGGACAUAUAAGUCCAUCUUAAAAGUGCGGGGCUCAACCCCGUGAGGGGAUGGAAACUGUAUGCCUUGAGUGCAGGAGAGGAAAGCGGAAUUCCCAGUGUAGCGGUGAAAUGCGUAGAUAUUGGGAGGAACACCAGUGGCGAAGGCGGCUUUCUGGACUGUAACUGACGCUGAGGCUCGAAAGCCAGGGGAGCGAACGGGAUUAGAUACCCGCGUAGUCCCUGUCUCUUAUACA